rnacentral:rRNA from 1 species
GAUGAACGCUGGCGGCGUGCCUAAUACAUGCAAGUCGAGCGAACAGACGAGGAGCUUGCUCCUCUGACGUUAGCGGCGGACGGGUGAGUAACACGUGGAUAACCUACCUAUAAGACUGGGAUAACUUCGGGAAACCGGAGCUAAUACCGGAUAAUAUAUUGAACCGCAUGGUUCAAUAGUGAAAGACGGUUUUGCUGUCACUUAUAGAUGGAUCCGCGCCGCAUUAGCUAGUUGGUAAGGUAACGGCUUACCAAGGCAACGAUGCGUAGCCGACCUGAGAGGGUGAUCGGCCACACUGGAACUGAGACACGGUCCAGACUCCUACGGGAGGCAGCAGUAGGGAAUCUUCCGCAAUGGGCGCAAGCCUGACGGAGCAACGCCGCGUGAGUGAUGAAGGUCUUCGGAUCGUAAAACUCUGUUAUUAGGGAAGACCAAAUGUGUAAGUAACUAUGCACGUCUUGACGGUCCCUAAUCAGAAAGCCACGGCUAACUACGUG